rnacentral:piRNA from 1 species
CAUAUGGUGAUAAUGGUCCC